GUGGACAGGUGUUUGCAAAGUGUUGAUCCACAGAAAAACCUGUCUUCCAGUAUUCUGUAAAAUAGAAUAAACUCGCUCUAUCAUGGUCCAUAUUAUUGGGGAAAGGUGAAUAAUUCCUGGAAACAGAGGAAUGGACGCACUGACUUCUCAAAAUCCCUGCUGACCCUAGAAUUCUAGAACACCGUUCAUCUGUGACCUGGCCUAAUUCCUCUCUCUCCCUGUCCCUGUGGCCUGUACUAAUGAUAGGGCUUGCCGAGCUGUCGCACUAUCCAGAAUGCCCUUUAUGUCAGCAGGAAACCUGGAGGAGACUUUCUUUUCUUCCUUUUUUUUUUUUUUUAGUAGGCUUGGCAGAAACAUUUUUUUUUUUCAAGAGAGAGAAAAAAAAUCAAAUUUAAGGACUGUGGAAAAAUAACUUUCUGUGCUCUUAGGUACCAGAAUCGACCAUUUGUCAGAACCAAAUGUCUGCUAAAGUGUGAAAAAUUGUUGGAAGGCAUUUUCUAAAUUUUGUUAUUGUGGUUCUAUCAAUUCAUUUCCAUGAGCCCUCUCAUUUGUGUCUGUUGGCUGUCCAGGCCAGGCUGGCCAGCUGAGAAGUGGAUCUACUGUCUUUUAUUCUCAAGGUCCUGACAUUCAUCUGACGGUUGGGAAGGUGGCUAUGCUGUAGUGGAGAGAGCUCAGAGUAUGAAAGUUUUAAGACCUGGUUUUGGAUCUCACCAUCAUCACUUCCAGGCUUCAAGAUCUCAGGAGAAGUUCUUAAAUCCCUGGGACUUACCUUGUCCCUGAACAUGUUACUUAUUUCUGAUGAAUGGUUAUGACCAAAGAUGGAUCCAUAUUGUGCUACAAAUUUACCCAACCACUGAUAAAAAUAUGACCUUUUUAUGACCAUUCCAAGGAACACGGCAGUCUGUACCUUGCUGGAAGCCUCGCGUAUUUAACCUCCCUCGUCCAUGUCGUUCCAAUGAGCAUUUUCUACCUGCUGGGUCCCUCAUUAACGCGCAAUAAACAUCGACACAAGUUCA